rnacentral:rRNA from 1 species
UCUUGAAUCCGCCUGACCGAUCCUUAACCGGAUCUUUCCUUCGGGACAGGCGAGACAGGUGGUGCAUGGUUGUCGUCAGCUCGUGUCGUGAGAUGUUGGGUUAANUCCCGCAACGAGCGCAACCCCUAUCCUCAGUAGCCAGCAUUUAAGGUGGGCACUCUGGGGAGACUGCCAGGGAUAACCUGGAGGAAGGCGGGGAUGACGUCAAGUCAUCAUGCCCCUUAUGACUUGGGCUACACACGUGCUACAAUGGCGUAAACAAAGGGAAGCAAAGCUGUGAAGCCGAGCAAAUCUCAAAAAUAACGUCUCAGUUCGGACUGUAGUCUGCAUCCCGACUACACGAAGCUGGAAUCGCUAGUAAUCGCAGAUCAGAAUGCUGCGGUGAAUACGUUCCCGGGUCUUGUACACACCG